rnacentral:rRNA from 1 species
ACUCCUACGGGAGGCAGCAGUGGGGAAUAUUGCACAAUGGGGGAAACCCUGAUGCAGCCAUGCCGCGUGUGUGAAGAAGGCCUUCGGGUUGUAAAGCACUUUCAGUAGGGAGGAAGGUAGUGUAGUUAACACCUGCAUUAUUUGACGUUACCUACAGAAGAAGCACCGGCUAACUCCGUGCCAGCAGCCGCGGUAAUACGGAGGGUGCAAGCGUUAAUCGGAAUUACUGGGCGUAAAGCGCACGUAGGCGGUAUGUUAAGUUGGAUGUGAAAGCCCCGGGCUCAACCUGGGAAUUGCAUUCAAAACUGGCACACUAGAGUAUGUGAGAGGGGUAGAAUUCCAAGUGUAGCGGUGAAAUGCGUAGAGAUUUGGAGGAAUACCAGUGGCGAAGGCGGCCCCCUC